rnacentral:tRNA from 1 species
GGCUUCAUAGUGUAGUGGUUAGCACGUCUGCUUUACAUGCAGAAGGUCCUGGGUUCGCACCCCAGGUGGAGCCA